GGGGGAAUAUUGCACAAUGGGGGAAACCCUGAUGCAGCGACGCCGCGUGAACGAAGAAGGUAUUCGUAUCGUAAAGUUCUUUCCUAUGGGAAGAUAAUGACAGAACCAUAGAAGAAAGCUCCGGCUAAAUACGUGCCAGCAGCCGCGGUAAUACGUAUGGAGCGAGCGUUGUCCGGAAUUAUUGGGCGUAAAGGGUACGCAGGCGGUUUAAUAAGUUGAAUGUUAAAGAUCGGGGCUCAACCCCGCAAAGCAUUGGAAACUGAUAAACUUGAGUAGUGGAGAGGAAAGUGGAAUUCCUAGUGUAGUGGUGAAAUACGUAGAUAUUAGGAGGAAUACCAGUGGCGAAGGCGACUUUCUGGACACAAACUGACGCUGAGGUACGAAAGCGUGGGGAGCAAACAGG
rnacentral:rRNA from 1 species